rnacentral:rRNA from 1 species
CACGUAGGGUGCGAGCGUUGUCCGGAAUUAUUGGGCGUAAGGAGCUCGUAGGCGGUGCGUCGCGUCGGCCGUGAAAACCUGCAGCUUAACUGUGGGCUUGCGGUCGAUACGGGCAUCACUGGAGUUCGGCAGGGGAGACUGGAAUUCCUGGUGUAGCGGUGAAAUGCGCAGAUAUCAGGAGGAACACCGGUGGCGAAGGCGGGUCUCUGGGCCGAUACUGACGCUGAGGAGCGAAAGCGUGGGGAGCGAACAGG